rnacentral:rRNA from 1 species
AGAACGAACGCUGGCGGCGUGCCUAACACAUGCAAGUCCAACGUGAAAGGGGAGCAAUCCCCCGGUAGGGUGGCAAACGGGUGAGUAAUACAUGGGUGAUCUACCUUAGGGAUGGGGAUAUCCUUCCGAAAGGAGGGGCAAUACCGAAUAUGUCCGGAGCCGUGAAGGGUUCCGGGGAAAGGGGAGGUCCGUCUGAAUACGAAGCUUUCGCCUUAAGAUGAGCCCAUGGCCCAUCAGCUAGUUGGUAGGGUAAAGGCCUUACCAAGGCUACGACGGGUCGCUGGUCUGAGAGGACGACCAGCCGACACCUGGCACUGAGAUACGGGCCAGACUCCUACGGGAGGCAGC